GCUGGAAUAGCUUAGUUGGUAAAGCAAAUGGACACUCGUAAUCUCAGGGUUGUGGGUUUGAACCCCGUGUUGGGCA